rnacentral:rRNA from 1 species
UACAGAGGGGGCUAGCGUUAUUCGGAAUUAUUGGGCGUAAAGGGCGCGUAGGCGGCCAUGCGUGUCUUCCGUGAAAUCCCUCGGCUUAACUGAGGACGUGCGGAAGAAACUGCAAGGCUCGAGUCCGGGAGAGGGGGGUGGAAUUCCCAGUGUAGCGGUGAAAUGCGUAGAUAUUGGGAGGAACACCGGUGGCGAAGGCGGCCCCCUGGACCGGUACUGACGCUGAGGCGCGAAAGCUAGGGGAGCAAACGGG